rnacentral:misc_RNA from 1 species
GAAAUGGAAUGAUGAAAAAUAAAUUAUUCCUGUAACAAUCUAUGGCUGUAUAUAUAGAGUCUAUUGCAUGCAAAUAAGUAGAGAACACUAAUCAAUGCUCGUACUCUACGGGAUUGGACGGUGAUACCUCUCACUAUAUAGUAUUGAUAUUCUUCUAGAUGCUUUAUCAUCAAUGAAUACCAUACCUAACUAAAUUUGGCAUCUUCAUCUUGGUUUUCAGGGUGAGGGUGGGUUUUAGGUAUAUAAGAGCAGAAAAGACAAC